UGAAGAUUAUUUUAUCCGAUCAGAUUGAGACUCUUCAACUGAAUCACUCGCCGGAGAAGCCAUGCCGAUGUUCAAGGCGCCGUUCAACGGCUACUCAGUGAAAUUCAGCCCUUUCUACGAGUCCCGCCUCGCCGUCGCCACAGCUCAGAACUUCGGUAUCCUAGGAAACGGCCGGAUCCACGUCCUCGAGCUCUCUCCCGGAGGUCCCGGCGUCACAGAGUCCAUCGCCUUCGACACGGCCGACGCAGUCUACGACGUCUGCUGGUCAGAAUCUCACGACUCCGUUCUCAUCGCCGCCAUCGGCGACGGCUCCGUCAAGAUCUACGACACAGCGCUCCCGCCUCCCUCCAACCCCAUCCGAUCGUUCCAAGAACACGCGCGUGAGGUUCACUCGGUUGAUUACAACCCCACGCGCCGCGACUCCUUCCUCACGGCGUCGUGGGACGAUACGGUGAAGCUGUGGGCUAUGGAUCGUCCCGCGAGCAUAAGGACUUUCAAGGAGCACGCGUAUUGCGUUUACCAAGCGGUGUGGAACCCUAAGCAUGGAGACGUCUUCGCCUCUGCUUCCGGCGACUGUACCCUGAGGAUAUGGGAUGUGAGAGAGCCUGGCUCCACCAUGAUCAUCCCUGCGCAUGACCUCGAGAUACUGUCGUGUGAUUGGAACAAGUAUGAUGAUUGUGUUUUAGCGACUUCUUCGGUGGAUAAGACGAUUAAGGUGUGGGAUGUGAGGAGUUACAGAGCUCCUUUGGCUGUGCUCAACGGGCAUGGGUAUGCGGUGAGGAAGGUGAAGUUCUCGCCGCAUAGGAGGAACUUGAUUGCUUCUUGCUCGUAUGAUAUGAGUGUGUGCCUUUGGGACUAUAUGGUGGAGGAUGCUUUGGUGGGUCGGUAUGAUCAUCACACUGAGUUUGCUGUUGGGAUUGAUAUGAGUGUUCUUGUUGAAGGUUUGAUGGCGAGUACUGGUUGGGACGAGCUCGUUUAUGUUUGGCAGCAAGGGAUGGAUCCAAGAGCGUGUUGAAACAAGUUUAAGUCUCUGUGUUUCCUCUUUAUUUAUUAUGGAAUAAUAAAGUUGGGAUCUUUCAUAAAAAAUGCCAUGUCAUUGAUGGAAUAUUCAUACAUAGAUGAACUUGUUUGUGGACGCUUUAACAAGAAAUGACUAUACUCGCUCAUGUUCUAGUGGAUACAUUAUAUUAGCUUGUUGAUCGAAACACUUGAUUACUUCUUUGUGGACUCGAGAUGGUUUAUAUUUGAAGGUAUGGAAAACAAACAAAGUUGAAAUCUUGGUAAUUGCUAGCAUGUUUAAAAAAAAAGAGAGUUAGUUUUACCAUCUUAACUUCUCUUAUAUACAAGAGCAAGCUCGAGGCAGUGAACCUUGGGAAAGGGCUGUUUUUGACAGUCUUUUUACAUAU